rnacentral:lncRNA from 1 species
GGCGGGGCAUCGCUCAGUAGUGUUUGUACCAGUGACGGAGACGGAGAGUGUGACUCCAGUUGACCCCUAGGUUACCUCAUCCUGACACAAGGACGUGCUGCACCGGUGGCGUGGUGUCAAGGGAAGCGCCUCUUUGCAUCCCUGCCCAGCACUUUACUGAACAGAUGAAGGUUCUCCAGAGUGUCAAGAAGGGAGUGCCGCACACACUUUGCUGCGCUCCAGGCUUUUGGAGGUCCAGCAGCACACUGCACACUUCUUUCAUAAACGUGUGUGCAAAGGGCAAGACAGAGAGGGGCAAGGAUGGAGGAUACUUCAACAUUCACAGCAUCAUUGGUUCAUGCUUUCUUUUCUGUGGAAAAUAGUGCACACAGUUUUAACUGAAGGAUUAUAUGUCAUCAUUCAUAUUCAUAGAUUUCAUGACUUGACAUUGUGUUGACCUUCGUGCAUCAAAUCACUUCAUUACAUGUAAGCAUAUAUUUAACUAUAAGGAGUAACGGUUUAUGAAUUUUGUAAUGUAUAAAAAGUUACUUAUAAGAGAUUUUGCAUUAUGAAGAUUUGUUUAAAAGUCUUUGUUCAUUAGCAUGAUCUAGUAGUAAGUUUUAACAGUCCAGAUUGUAUAGACAGUCCAUUGCACUUCCUGCAGAUGGAAUUUUAGUCAACACUGCAAGGUGUGUGUGUGGGGGGGGGGCAGCUUUGUGGGCAAGUGUGCCAGCCAUUCCUUGAUGUCAAUGUCUUUCAUUUAGGGAAAAAAAAAAAGUUGUUUGUAAUUAGGUUUAUAUACAUUUUUGAGUGAGAAUAUUUAGACUGAUUAAACAGUAAGUUUCUCAAUUUUCUAGAGCUUUGUUGCUACUGUUCUGUGUAAGGUUUCAGGGACCAUAUUCUACAAACCGUCAUACCUAAUGAAAUGAUCGUAGCAAGACAAAUUGGUGCAUUUUAGACACAAGCCCCUCUAUGACAGGCUCUAACCUUGUGUGACUUCAUAAGUGCCAAGACAGGGCUCAGCCUGUUGUAUCGCUGCCAACCGCCAUCUUAAAACUUUUGUUAACAUGGUGAGAACUUGGCUGUUUGUACCAUAGCAUGAUCCCCGACAGUUUUUAUUAUUAAUUAUUGAUAAAUAUCCGUAGUGAUGACUAGAUAAUGUCCUUCUUUGAUGCAGUUACUUACCAUUAUAGAUAACUGCCGAGAGUGGUAUGAUCAGUUUUCCCAAAACUCAACCAAACCUUGCCCCGCGUGGCCUGCAUGUAUCGCGCGUAAUCUUCUGUUUGUCAUGUUUCUUUUAUUUGGAUACACAGUCUAACUAUUCUCAAAGUUGUAAUAUGAUGUCAGAAUCAUUUAAAUUAUGUCAAGGAGCUGUUUCUUUGUAUACAUACAUAAAGUUGACAAAUAUUGAGCCUAAAGACCAAUAGUGGAGUGAUGGUCAGGCAUUCAGUGAGACCUGAGGCUAACUGUGUAGAAUGUGGUCCCAGAAUGAUGGUGUGUGUUUUUUUAUAUUCAUGGUGACAAUAUAGUGUUGCAAGGGACAACAUGUUUUGAGGGCAAUGCCAUUUUACGGAGUUGAUAGUUGCUCCUAGACUUUUGCAAUGAAAAUGAUCUCAAAAUACUUUUAGAAAUUUUAAUUACUAACAAGACGUGUGCAUUUAAAAAUACUACUCUUAUGUUCUUAAAGACAUGUGCAAUGAAAAUGCUCUCAAAAUGCUACUCUUCUGUUCUUAUAUUCACUUUUUUAUAUUAUAUUAGACAGUUGUAUGGAUGGCAAUGAUAGGUGGAAUAAGGUAGACCUGUUCAUACAGGGACUGCUGCCAUGUAUGUGCAGGUGUCAUAGUAAUGUAGGUGGAAUGAGGCAGACAUGUAUUUUUUUUUUCUUUUUACGUUUAGGCCUAUAGAGCCUGUAGGUUCACUGGAUGAGUGUGUAGAAGCACUGUUCAGCUUCCUCCCAUUAGUGGCGCAGGCAAUUUUAUCUAUAGUGGUACCUUUAUUAGGGCUCAUAUCACCACCAAGCUCAUCUUGGGUGUAACAACCUAGAAUCUGGGAAUGUGCAGGCCUCAUGGUACCAAUUGCAACUUUCUCUUCAUUGUGUUUCUCUAAUAUUCAGGGAGAUAAUUUUGUUAGUUGAAAAUAUUCCCAGAGUAAUAUAAUACUUGAAAAAAUUGCAUAUGUUAUUCUAAGUUGGAAAUGUAAAAAUUGUACAAAUCAUGCUAUUCCAUUGUAAAAAUGUAAGUCAAAAAUUAUAGAAAAGAGUAUUGUAAUUUUUGCAUAAGUUAUUCUAAGUUGGAAAUGUAAAAAUUUUACAAAUUAUGCUAUUCCAUUGUAAAAAUGUAAGCAAAAAUUAUAGAAACGAAUAUUGUAAUUUUUAAGUUGAAAAUUUUG